rnacentral:lncRNA from 1 species
GAAUUAGCCAGGUUGUUGAAAUAAGAGGAGAAUGUGAUUCAUCCGUACGUAAAGCGGGUUGAGCUUGUUAACCUGUAUACUGCCGAGGUCAGGAAAUGAAAAUUGGGGCCGCUUCAGAGGCGAGUCGAGAGCAGAAUGGUAGCCUUGUUGAAAGAGUAUGUCGAUACCUUCGCCUGGUUGUGUCAGGAUAUGCCAGGGUCGGAUACCGACGUCGUUGCACACAAGCUAC